rnacentral:rRNA from 1 species
GGGCCGGAGUCUUGCCUGCCCAGUGACAAGUUAAACGGCCGCGGUAUUUUGACCGUGCGAAGGUAGCGCAAUCACUUGUCUUUUAAAUGAAGACCUGUAUGAAUGGUGGAACGAGGGCUUAACUGUCUCCCCUUUCAAGUCAAUGAAAUUGAUCUGCCCGUGCAGAAGCGGACAUACAAAUACAAGACGAGAAGACCCUUUGGAGCUUAAGAUACAGAAUCAACUAUGUCAAGAACCCUAGAAUAAAGUUAAACUAAAUAGCAACUGAUCCCUAUCUUCGGUUGGGGCGACUGCGGGAGAAAAUAAAGCUCCCAUGCGGACUGGGGCCACCCCUAAAGCUAAGAGAGACAUCUCUAAGUCACAGAACAUCUGACCACAAAGAUCCGGCCAAUGGCCGACCAACGGACCAAGUUACCCUAGGGAUAACAGCGCAAUCCCCUUCCAGAGUCCAUAUCGACAAGGGGGUUUACGACCUCGAUGUUGGAUCAGGACAUCCUAAUGGUGCAGCCGCUAUUAAGGGUUCGUUUGUUCAACGAUUAAAGUCCUACGUGAUCUGA